CUUUGAGGGACUCCGAAACCAGUGUUUGGAAGUGUCACUGCGUAAUGCCAAGAUGAAAGCAGGCCAGAAGCCAGGCUGCACAUGCUGUAAUUCAGGUCGGCUUCUGGUUAAUUUAAAGGCCUGGUAGGUACACCAGCUCCUAACCUGGAGUCGCCUUCUGUUUCAUUUUCUGAAUUACUGAAAUGUGACACUCAAAUGUCUGAUUGUUGUUGUUGUUGUUGCUGUUUCUUCCCUGAAAACUACCGGUGCAUUUUGUAAUGGUUUCCAGCCUUUUCACUGGGAACUCAUUUUGGCCAUCUUUCCUUUGCUCACCCAACUCUGGAAGUAUUUUUGUUUUUCACUAAGAGCUUCUUUCUCUUGCAUCUCCUGAGUUACAAGCAUAUUGAAGACAAAAUGUUUUGAAUGUUUGGGUUCAUUGUUGUGCACAACAUGGUCUUUUUCUGUAUUCAGUGCCAAUGAUAUUAGCAGAGACUAUGUUACUCAUUUGUGUUGUUAUUGGAAAUGAGUGUGUAAAGGUGAGUUGGGCUGUGCAGGGAGCGGUCCUGUUUGUGCCUUGCGAAGCCUGGAUACCGUUACCUAUGCAGACAGCAGAAAUCCUCAACUCAGAGAGGUAACUAACGGAUUUGGGUUUUUAGAAAGAAAAUGUAACUCUGGGAGGGUAGGUAGGUUGACAUGUAGACCAGAUCCAUGGUUUCCAGUUCUGAGGGCACACUGGAAUCACCAGGGACUGUCUAAAAAAAAGCCCCCCACCAAGAGAAUGAGCAAAGACUUGAACAGGGACUUCAGCAAGCUCCAGUGACAUGAAAUCUUUCAGUAGCAGCUACGGACAAGGGUGUGGGGCAAGAGGGAUUCCCAUGCUCUGCUCAAAGGAAUCUUAAUUAGAGGUUGGGGGGGGGAAAUGGCUAACUCUGUGUGUGUGUGUGUGUGUGUGUGUGUGUGUGUGUGUGUGUGUGUGUAUGCGUGUGGUGGCCUUACAGAGCUGCCCCAUCACCCAGAGGGCCCAAGACCGCACAUGGGAGAGCCGAGGACUGCAGCUCUCUGAGCCCUGAGAGCUCUCCAUCCUAAGAGACCCAGCGGCUCUCCUGAAUCCACGGCCCAAUGCAAACCGGAAACAGGAAGUCUGCACAGGGGCAGGCCUGGAUGGUCUGAGUGCCUAGCCGUGCAUUCACAACUGAGAAUCUUGGUACGAAGGAGAGUUUGUUUGGAUUGAGAACCUUGCCUCUAUUCAUUCUUCAUGUGCAAUUGCCAAAAAGGAGAAACUCAAGUGUCCAUCCACUGAUGAAUGAAUAAACAGAAUGUGGUGUAUCUAUACACUGGAAUGUUCUUCAGCAAAGGAGAAUGAAAGAACUGGCCCGCGCCACGCAACAAGGAGAGUGAACCCGGGAGACAUUAUGCCAAGUGGAAGACACCAAACACAGAAGGCCACGGUGGCCUCCGUUGGAUUAGAUGAUGACCACCUGCUGGGGUGAGGGCGGUCUUCUUAUCUUCUUAGCCUGCCAUUCAAAUGCUAAUCGCGUUUGGAGACAGCCUCACACACACACCCAGAAAUAAUAUUUUACCAGCUGCGAGGGCAUCCCUGAAGCCCAACCAAAAUGACAUAUAAAAUCAACCAUCACACUCAAUAAAGUAGAUCUGAAAAUAUGUAUAUCUUCACAUGAAAUAUCUCCGCCUAAAAUCCAAUUUCUUAAUGAGGAAGGACAAUCAACAUUUCUGUUAAAAUCAGGAACAAAAUGAGAAUAUCCGUACUUGCCAUUAUUAUUUAGAAUUUUUUUAAGUAGACUCCAU